UACAGAGGUGGCAAGCGUUGUUCGGAAUUACUGGGCGUAAAGGGUUUGUAGGCGGUUAUACAAGUCAGUGGUGAAAGCCCGGGGCUCAACCUCGGAAUUGCCAUUGAAACUGUAUAGCUAGAGAGUGUUAGAGGAAAGUGGAAUUCCUAGUGUAGGAGUGAAAUCCGUAGAGAUUAGGAGGAAUAUCGAUGGCGAAGGCAGCUUUCUGGGACAUUUCUGACGCUGAGAAACGAAAGCGUGGGUAGCAAACAGG
rnacentral:rRNA from 1 species